GGGGGGGGGGGGGGGGGGGCUUGGGGCAGGGGGGUCGGGCGCUGGGGCUUGGUGCUGGCACUGGGUGGAUGGGUGGCGAACGGGUGAGUAAUACGUGAGUAACCUGCCCUUGGCUCUGGGAUAAGCCUGGGAAACUGGGUCUAAUACUGGGUACGACAUGUCACCGCAUGGUGGUGUGUGGCAAGGGUUUUACUGGUUUUGGAUGGGCUCACGGCCUAUCAGCUUGUUGGUGGGGUAAUGGCUCACCAAGGCGACGACGGGUAGCCGGCCUGAGAGGGUGACCGGCCACAAGGGGACUGAGAAACGGCCCAGACUCCGAGGGGGGGCAGCAGGGGGGAAUAUUGAAAAAUGGGCGGAAGCCUGAUGCAGGGAAGGCGGGGGGGGGAGGACGGCCUUGGGGUGGUAAACCUCUUUAAGAAGGGAAGAAGCGAAAGUGACGGUACGGGCAAAAGAAGCGCCGGCUAACUAAGU
rnacentral:rRNA from 1 species